GACAUGGUGGCUCAGAGGUUAAAACGUCUGCCUGCAAUGCAGGAAACCUGGGUUCAAUCCCCGGGUCG
rnacentral:tRNA from 1 species